rnacentral:lncRNA from 1 species
UUUCUUCUCGUCUGUCGCCAUGUGAGAUGUACCUUUCACUUUCCUCCAUGAUUGUGAGGCCUCCUUAGCCACAUGGAACUGCCCUGGCAAUCACUAUUCCAGUCUCUGCUUCUAUGAGUUUGACUAUUUCAGAUUCCACAUGAAAUGCUGGAGUCCUUCAUCCGAAUGGUAAAUGGCACUUGUGACAAAAAUCAAAGUAACUAAAAAAGAAUCUGGUUGAAACCUCAGUAACAGUUGGCCUGUCUACUGCCUCACACUAACAAGUGACCCCCACCUUUACAAGUGUCUGUAAUUCUCACUAGCAGUAUAUUAGAGGGCAAAAGAUUUGAACAGACACAUCAGAAAAGAAGACAUACAAAUGGCCGCUAAGCACUUGAAAGGAUUCUGAACACCAUUAGUCAUCAGUGAAAUGCAAAUUAAAGCCAUAAUGAAUGGCGCUAUACAUUUUCAGAAUGGCAAGGAUUGAAGACCGAAAAAAAUCAAGCGUUGAGGAGAGUGACAAAUGGGGAGACAGCCGUGGUGCAUGAUCGCCGAAUAAAUACCAUGUGAGGAUACAGCAAGAAGGUGGCCAUCUACAAGCCAAGGAGACAGGCCUCAGAAGAAACCAACCCUUCUUACACCCUGGACUCAGACUUCUAAUCUCCAGAACUUGUUAAUGCACAAGGUCUUGUGUUGAAAAUGUAGAGCCACGAGAUAAAAGCAGCUUGGAUGGCUGACUCAUAUACAAGGACAACUGCCUGAGAGUCACCAGGGCUAUCAAGAAGUUUGCAGAAACAAGAAAUAAACUUUUACUGUUUUAAACUUUUGUGAAUUUUGGGUUUUGUUUAU